GACGAACGCUGGCGGCGUGCCUAAUACAUGCAAGUAGAACGCUGAAGGAGGAGCUUGCUUCUCUGGAUGAGUUGCGAACGGGUGAGUAACGCGUAGGUAACCUGCCUGGUAGCGGGGGAUAACUAUUGGAAACGAUAGCUAAUACCGCAUAAGAGUAGAUGUUGCAUGACAUUUGCUUAAAAGGUGCAAUUGCAUCACUACCAGAUGGACCUGCGUUGUAUUAGCUAGUUGGUGAGGUAACGGCUCACCAAGGCGACGAUACAUAGCCGACCUGAGAGGGUGAUCGGCCACACUGGGACUGAGACACGGCCCAGACUCCUACGGGAGGCAGCAGUAGGGAAUCUUCGGCAAUGGACGGAAGUCUGACCGAGCAACGCCGCGUGAGUGAAGAAGGUUGUCGGAUCGUAAAGCUCUGUUGUAAGAGAAGAACGAGUGUGAGAGUGGAAAGUUCACACUGUGACGGUAUCUGACCAGAAAGGGACGGCUAACUACGUG
rnacentral:rRNA from 1 species